UGGCUCAGGAUGAACGCUAGCGGCAGGCUUAACACAUGCAAGUCGAGGGGCAUCGGGAGUAGCAAUACUUGCCGGCGACCGGCGCAAGGGUGCGUAACGCGUGAGCAACAUGCCCGUAUCAGGGGGAUAAUCCAUGGAAACGUGGUCUAAUACCCCAUAGUAAUUAUGUAAGGCAUCUUAUAUAAUUUUAAAGCUUUGGUGGAUACGGAUUGGCUCGCGUGACAUUAGCUAGAUGGUAAGGUAACGGCUUACCAUGGCUACGAUGUCUAGGGGUUCUGAGAGGAAGGUCCCCCACACUGGAACUGAGACACGGUCCAGACUCCUACGGGAGGCAGCAGUGAGGAAUAUUGGACAAUGGAUGGAAAUCUGAUCCAGCCAUGCCGCGUGCAGGAAGAACCGGCCCUAUGGGUUGUAAACUGCUUUUGUAUGGGAGCAAUAAGGGCUACGUGUAGUCCGAUGAGAGUACCAUACGAAUAAGCACCGGCUAACUCCGUGCCAGCAGCUGC
rnacentral:rRNA from 1 species